CAAAAUUGCAUAUCAAUCAUUCAUAUCGUGCCAAGACCUCAUGAACAAAUUAUGGCAAGAAAAUUCACAAGUUUAGUAAAAAAAAAGAACAAAUCAACAAGAAAACAUCACAUAUAUUUUUUUAUCAUUUUUUAACAUGUAAAAACAUCACAAAAAUAUAAAAAAUGCAUCAAGAAACACAUAGAAAUUUUUAGGAAUUUUUGCAAGAAAAUUAGAACAAAAAGGAGGUUCACAUAGCAAAGACAGAGGGUGUGCAUAGCAAGAAUCAAGCAAGAACGCAGGAAACCCACAAGAAAAGGCCCAAGCCCAAUCUCAAUUGGACCUGGACGCUCAGGAGCCGUUAGAUUGAUCCAGGAAGCCAAACCCUAGAUCUAAAGGCUCAGAAUGAAGGAAAAGCGAACCGAAGAUGAAACGGACCGGUCUAAGCGCCUAUAUAAGCACAUGGACACCGGUCCAAUUCAUUUCCUUUCCCCCUUUCUCUCUCUAACUCACUCGUUCUCUCACUAGGCUCUCGUCUUCUCUCUUCCCCCCGCCGGUUUCUGGAAGGAGACGGCCGGAGAAGAUGAAGAUUCAUCGGAAUCUUCAUCA
rnacentral:lncRNA from 1 species